rnacentral:rRNA from 1 species
AUUGAACGCUGGCGGCAGGCCUAACACAUGCAAGUCGAGCGGAGCGGCGGACGGGUGCGUAAUGCCUAGGCAUCUGCCUGGUCGUGGGGGAUAACGUCCGGAACCGGGCGCUAAUACCGCAUACUCUCAGAUGAGCCUAGGUCGGAUUAGCUUGUUGGUGGUGUAAAGGCCUACCAAGGCGACGACCCGUAGCUGGUCUGAGUGGAUGAUCAGUCACACUGGAACUGAGACACGGUCCAGAAUCCUACGGGAGGCAGCAGUGGGGAAUAUUGGACUAUGGGCGAAAGCCUGAUCCAGCCAUGCCGCGUGUAUGAAGAAGGUCUUCGGAUUGUAAAGCACUUUAAGUUGGGAGGCGUUACCAUCAGAAUAAGCACCGGCUAACUUCGUGCCAGCAGCCGCGGUAAUUC